rnacentral:RNase_P_RNA from 1 species
UGAGUAGCACGAAUGGUCGCAUCUUUUUAAGAUGAGGAAAGUCCGGGCUUCGUAGGACAGAGUGCCGGAUAACGUCCGGUGGAGGUGACUCCCAGGCUAGUGCAACAGAAAUUAUACCGCUAUAAGUUCAUACUUAUAGUAAGGGUGGAAAGGUGGUUUAAGAGACCACCGCCUAUUUGGUAACAAAUAGGGCAAAUGUAAACCCCACUCGAAGCAAGACCGAACAUAAUGCAAUACGGUUGUCCGCCGUGCAUUAGGGUGGGUCGCGUAGCAUCAGCGUAAGCGGGUGCUUGAGCCAUAUGGCAACAUAUGGUCUAGAUAGAUGACCAUUCACGACAGAACCCGGCUUACAGUGCUACUCCAUUU